GACGAACGCUGGCGGCGUGCCUAAUACAUGCAAGACGAGCGCAGGAAAUCGACGGAACCCUUCGGGGGGAAGUCGACGGAAUGAGCGGCGGACGGGUAAGUAACACGUAAAGAACCUGCCCUCAGGUCUGGGAUAACCACGAGAAAUCGGGGCUAAUACCGGAUGGGUCAUCGGACCGCAUGGUCCGAGGAUGAAAGGCGCUUCGGCGUCGCCUGGGGAUGGCUUUGCGGUGCAUUAGCUAGUUGGUGGGGUAAUGGCCCACCAAGGCGACGAUGCAUAGCCGACCUGGGAGGGUGAUCGGCCACACUGGGACUGAGACACGGCCCAGACUCCUACGGGAGGCAGCAGUAGGGAAUCUUCCACAAUGGACGAAAGUCUGAUGGAGCAACGCCGCGUGAACGAUGAAGGCCUUCGGGUCGUAAAGUUCUGUUGUAAGGGAAGAACAAGUGCCGCAGGCAAUGGCGGCACCUUGACGGUACCUUGCGAGAAAGCCACGGCUAACUACGUGCCAGCCGCCGCAGUAA
rnacentral:rRNA from 1 species